rnacentral:rRNA from 1 species
AUUGAACGCUGGCGGCAUGCCUUACACAUGCAAGUCGAACGGCAGCACGGGUGCUUGCACCUGGUGGCGAGUGGCGAACGGGUGAGUAAUACAUCGGAACAUGUCCUGUAGUGGGGGAUAGCCCGGCGAAAGCCGGAUUAAUACCGCAUACGAUCUACGGAUGAAAGCGGGGGACCUUCGGGCCUCGCGCUAUAGGGUUGGCCGAUGGCUGAUUAGCUAGUUGGUGGGGUAAAGGCCUACCAAGGCGACGAUCAGUAGCUGGUCUGAGAGGACGACCAGCCACACUGGGACUGAGACACGGCCCAGACUCCUACGGGAGGCAGCAGUGGGGAAUUUUGGACAAUGGGCGAAAGCCUGAUCCAGCAAUGCCGCGUGUGUGAAGAAGGCCUUCGGGUGGUAAAGCACUUUUGUCCGGAAAGAAAUACUUGGCUCUAAUACAGUCGGGGGAUGACGGUACCGGAAGAAUAAGCACCGGCUAACUACGUG